rnacentral:rRNA from 1 species
GUGAGGAAUUUUCCGCAAUGGGCGAAAGCCUGACGGAGCAACGCCGCGUGAGGGAUGAAGUCUCUAGGGAUGUAAACCUCUGUUGGGAGGGACGAAGAUCUGACGGUACCUCCUGAGGAAGCCCCGGCUAACUACGUGCCAGCAGCCGCGGUAAUACGUAGGGGGCAAGCGUUAUCCGGAUUUACUGGGCGUAAAGAGCGCGUAGGCGGUUCCGUAAGUUGGUUGUGAAAGUUCGAGGCUCAACCUCGAAACUGCGUCCAAUACUGCGGGGCUGGAGUGCAAGAGAGGCAAGUGGAAUUUGCGGUGUAGUAGUGAAAUGCGUAGAUAUCGCAAGGAACACCAGUGGCGAAGGCGGCUUGCUAGCUUGUAACUGACGCUGAGGCGCGAAAGCUAGGGGAGCGAACGGGAUUAGAAACCCGAGUAGUCC